GGCGUGCUUACACAUGCAAGUCGAGCGGACUUUGGCAGCACAUCGCCAGAGUUAGCGGCAGACGGGUGAGUAACAUUUGGGCAAUCUGCCCUUGAGCGGGAGACAACCUGCCGAAAGGCGGGCUAAUAUCCCGUAAGACCACAGGGUCGCAUGACCUAGGGGUCAAAGCUCCGUAAGGGGCGCUUGAGGAGGAGCCCGAGGCCUAUCAUGGUAGUUGGCGGGGUAACGGCCCACCAAGCCUUUGACGGGUAGCCGGCCUGAAAGGGUGAGCGGCCACACUGGCACUGAGACACGGGCCAGACUCCUACGGGAGGCAGCAGUGGGGAAUUUUGGACAAUGGGGGCAACCCUGAUCCAGCGACGCCGCGUGAAGGAUGAAGGUCUUCGGAUUGUAAACUUCUUUUGGAGGGGACGAAUGCCUGCGUGAAAAACGCAGGGUGACGGUACUCUCUGAAUAAGCCACGGCUAACUACGUGCCAGCAGCCGCGGUAAUACGUAGGUGGCGAGCGUUACUCGGAAUCACUAGGCGUAAAGUGCGGGUAGGCGGUUCGGUAAGUCUCUUGUGAAA
rnacentral:rRNA from 1 species